UCCCUCCCUUAUCUGAGACUGCCGUGAGAACAUGCCCAGGUCAACCUGAGAAUGUGCCUGGGCUGGCCAGUUGGAGAGGUGCUGAGGCUUGCGCAUGCAAGAGACACGAGGAGGAGAGCCCAGUGGUCCCAGCAGAUCAGCCUUUGGCAAACUGAUGCCCAGACAUGUGAAGGAGGCCAGCCAUGGUCAGCAGAGCCUCUCCCCUCCCCACAGCUCACGGGUGAGCCCAGCAGAGACCAGAACUGAUGUGCGAACCCACAGACCUGCUCUGUCUCCUUUUGGGAUGACUGGGAUGUCCACAUCUAGGGGACACUGGAGACAUACCUAAGGACUGCAAAGCUGCUGUCAGCCUGGUCCAUAAACAACUUGGAGGAAGAGCCAUUCCAAAAACCUGGACACCUGCCCAGUACUAUUUGAGAUAGGAGUAAAAGGUACUGGUGCUGUGAAGAGAGGAGAAUCUGCAUGGACAAGUGGUCAGGAUUUGGAUAAUGUAAUCAUUCAAGAUGGGACAGGAAAACAUCAACACCACUUUGGUGAUGUUGAAGGGGAAGUAAGGAAAACCCUGUAGGUUAAAAUGACACACAGAGAAGAACCAAAUGCAACACCAUCACAGCUACUUUGAAGAAUUCUCUGUGAUAUUCAUGAUAAAGAAGUCUUGUUAAUGCUACCAGUAAGAAACUCAUUAACGAGGCAAGUAAAUAAACAGAACUCAAAACAGACAUCAGCCUCCAAACCCAACUUCACUGCAUGUAAAUGAAAUUCCAGAGGAGUAUAAAGUGAUCAGAUGGGGAGAAUCAGUUCUUAUGCACAAUUCCAUUGCUCGAGAUGAUGACAGAAUCCUAUUUACACAACUCAUGAUAAUAUUUGAUAUUUAAGUGCCAGUACCACAAUGUUCAGUGACAGCACCUUCAAGAUGGCACCAACAUCAUUCAAUUGUCUACUGUGCACAGUGUGCUAUUGGGUUAUAUUAUGCUGUUGAUUUAUGUACUAACAAUGAAAAGGCAAGAGACACUUACAGAUAUACAUGAGGAAGUACCUGCAUUUGCAUGAAAGAGAAAUCCUGACAUUAACCCUUCACUGUGCAUGAUAGAUUUCGAGUUUGCAAAUAUGAAUGCAAUUUGACUACUACUAUCAAGUGCACGAAUAAAAGGAUGCUUAUUUCACUUUUCACAAUCUUGAAAAAUACCUUCUCUGAGUCUAACGCAUGAUAUGCGACAAUGAAAGGUAACACCUGUCUAAGCGUGCACCAUUUGGGCCUUUGAAAAACUUAAAUGAAACUUUUGAGUACAUUGUGGAGAAUGCAAAGAAAAUUUAGAUGACCUAAUGGCUUAAGCUGAGAGAGUGUACGUCUGUGGAAGGCUUGGCAGCGGCAGAGUAAGACCAGACGCUCCAAGAUUUCCACCAGAAACUUGGAAUGUUUACACAUCAGUAUUGAACAGUGAUCACAGGACAAACAAUGCAGCAGAAGGCUAGCACUGUAAAUUUCAAAAGCCGACAGUAGUAUAUUGUCCUUCAAUUUGGAGCCUCAUUCAAGUGUUAAGAGACAGACAGGAAAGCGAUGAACAAGCUAUCACCCAGGUUUUUGGUGAUCACACUCAAAUAUGGCCACCAACUUCACCAUGAUACCAAUAAAACCAAAUGCAUAUAACUGAAAUUGUUAACAGAUAAGGUCAAUUAUCAGGUUCACAUAUACUUGAGAGCAAUUGCUCAUCAACUUAAGAGUAAGCCUGCCAAACAUCACGACGAGGAAGAAUAAGAAUAAAUGUGAAUUUAUUACACAUUUCAUCAUGAAUUACAAUAAAAAUAAUGUAAAUACAAUUUUAACAAAGUUGAGUAUUUGUAUUAUUUAAUGAAUCAUGGCCCAAAUGUCUCCCUGGAUGUUUUGGACAGGAACAAAUACCAAGAACCUUUUGGCAUGGACCAAAUGUCUCAAUAGACGUUUUGGAUGGAACCAAAUGUCCCGCAAGGCUCCGGUCCCACCCAGACCUACUGAAUCAGAAAACACGAUGGGGUUUGGCUAUAUGUUUUAACAAGUCUUCCAGGUGAUUGAUUGUGCUGCAUGUUAAUGUUUGAGAACCAGCCUCCUGGAGUGAAAAUGUUAACAGCAUGCUCUUUGAAGUCAGAGAAAUUUGGGUUCAAAUACUGCACUUAGACUUACUGUCUCUGUGACUUGGAACAAGUCAUUUAACCCAAGCAUCAAUUUCCGAUUUAGUAAACACGGUGGCAAAGUAGAGACAUGGUACCUUUCAGGGUUAUUGUUAGGAUUAAAUGAGGAAAUAUAUACAGAUGAGAUCUAUAGUGUAUGUACCUCAAAUACACAGUGCUUGCUGCAGAGUAAGCACUCAGUAACUGACGUCUGUUAUUUUUCCAGGCACGGAAGACCUUGUGUUCAAUAUUGCAGGAAACACUGUGCUAAUCAGACACGACUUCUUUCUUCAGUCUGGAAAAGGAGCUACAGUAGCUUACAAAUAAUCAUGAUACAAAGUAGAAAGUGUUAGUUGGCAAUUGAGUGGGUCCCUCACCAUGGUGCCAGGCAGUUUCUUAUAUUAAAGACACCCUAAUGGAACUUGAUGGAAUUGGGAUUCGAAAACUAGUAUCUAAAACGUUCCUGAGAUGUUUUGUUAUUUACAUGAAAAGAAAACUUUUUGAGGCAUCAUUUCCUCUUAUAAUUACCAAACUGCUUUCAUAAGUACAAAAUAAAUAGAAUACCUAAUUCCUAUAAUACUUUUGAGGAAAAGGUAUUCAUGUAUAAGAGAGUAUAAAAAAGACUGACAAUUUCAUAACACAUAAUGACAUGUUUAUUUGGUUUCUAAGUCUCAUCAUUUCUACCCUGGAACUCUCUCAUCUAUUUCCUCCUUUCCACUCUUGUAGCAACCCACACAGACCUACCAAAAUAAUCUUCCCCCAAAACUACUUUACCACAAUCACCUCCUUGCUUAGGAACCUUCAUAAUGACAUCAUUUUCAUGACGUCAGAUACAAAGUUACAGAGUCAAGAUUCAAACCGGAACAACUAUAUCCUAUCACCUUUUGGAAUCACCAUCACUGAUACUAUUUUUAAUAGUGAGUGUGGGGUAAGGGUGGUAGCCUGGCAGCGAUUUUUGGUAGAAGUAGUUCAGGGAUUAUAAAUAUAGGAGGGCAGGAGGUGGCUGGGCCUUAAGAACCAUUUUGGGGGUGAAGAAGUUUUUUUAAAUGUGGAAAUACCACAGUUACUGGCAACCCAAGGGGUCAGGGCAGGGAAGCCUCCGGGGAGAGGAAGAGAGAGCCUUUUAGGAUGUGGCUCACCAGGGCUGGGAAGAAGGCAGCAUUCAGGGCAGAACUCAGGGGAAGCAAGUCUAUGGUUUGACAGGAACAUCACCUGUGUUCCAUCUCUCAGUUGUACAAAGAGGAGGCAAAGACCCGCCCCGGAAAGGCCAAGGGACUAAGCCGAACUUUUAGAACAGCGGAUGCAGAAGCCAUGCUUCCCAGUGAACCAGCCUUGAUAACCGGGGAGAGGAGAGAGUUAAAGCAGAAACCAAGGUAGGAAAAAACGAGGGAGGCACCCCUCUUUGAGGAAGUCUUCAUCGAUUCAGAUGCCACCCUCCUGUGGGCCUUCAAGUGAAAUAGGAUCCUCCUGAGCUUUCAUAAUAUCCAGUGAUCAUCUCAUAGCACUUAUGUUGCAAGCAUUUGCUUAGACAUUUGUCUCCCCCACUCAACACUAAACUCCUCGAGAGCUAGUUUCUGUAUUAUUUGACUGUAUCCCUAACCCUUAGCCCAGAGCCUGGCACAAAGCAGGUGCCCUGAGUAAAAUGCCAGUGAGUGCAUGAAUGAAUGAAUGAAUGAAAUGAGGGUAGAGCUCUGGAAGGACGCUUAUAACUCAUGUAGUCCGAGCCUAUUGUUUUGCAGAGAGGUUAAAGGGCUUGCAAGGCCCUUUAGUGCUAGAGGUGCGGGGUUUAGUGCUAGAGUUGUUCCCGGAACCCAGAACAUGCGGCCACCCUUCCUCCUCCUUGCCCUGCUGGGAUCAUGGAGACAGCUCUCACAGACGUUCUAAUGUUUGUUGGCUCCUUGUUGGGAAUGCACAAUACAUUUUCCCAUGGAGACAGGUUUUUUCUUUUUCUUCUUUUUUUUUCUAAUGGUGGUUCAGUUCCCAGGCCAGGCCACAAAAGCCUAUUUACCCUAUAGCUCAGCUCAACUAUAAAACCAGCGGUAGCUUUGAGGCCUCACUGAACCCCCAGCUCCGAGCCCACAGUCUGGGGGGCAGGUGGGCAGCUGGCUCUGUAGGGGGGAAGGCAGAGCUCCCUUGAGCAGACCAGGAGCCUGGGGUGGGGGCUACGCAGGGGGGCUGGGCAGGGGGCCCGGGCAGCAGCUGCAUUAGGCUAGGCAGCCUCUGAAUGCCUUGGUGGUUCUUAAGUGGAUUGUUUGUAAGUUGGGAACUGUCUGUACUUAGAAAGGCGGAUUUCAAGAGGUAGGGGAUCCUAUUUCACUUGAAGGCCCACAGUAAUGAGGGUUCUUUAUUCGUAAUGAAGUAGCCACUAAUUGGAGGGACAGGCUCAGGAGGCCUGCCGGAAUUUUGUACUCCUGGACCAGAACUGAGUAAUAUUAUGCAGUAGCCUGGCAACCCCUCACUUCUGCAUAAAAUUCAUAUAAAAAUCUACCAUGAAGUGCCUAUUUGACAUUCACUGUGUUUAUUAUUAAUAAUGAUAAUAACAGGGUGGCUUAUAUACAGCAUUAAGCUGAGAAAGUGAAUGAAUUCUCACUUUCCUCAAGUUUUCCCCCUCCGGCCAGAUUAGGAACAUUUGGAAAAUCCUUACACUCAGAGUGGGCUGAAAACUUUCAUAGUUACCCUGAGGAGACAUGGCUCCAGUUUCUAAGGGCUCGUCCAAGAGAUGAUCUCUUUCCUUCCUUCAACUCCUCAGAGGCAGAAACCUUCCAUAAACUCAUGAAUGUUGUAAAAGCAAAUGUACAAAAAAAAGCAAAUGUACAAAAAAAAAAUAGUGUCAAUGGAACUGAAAAAGUUACAGUAGGUGAAUCAAUUAUAACAAGGUAAUAGUGUUAGCCUUUCUGGACUUAAUGAAAUGUAAUCAACUCCACUGGAAUGUUCUGGUGCCCCCUGGAGGAUCCUAAAACCUACCAAAACUGGUUAUUUAGUACCUUUCUUCAGAGGCCUUAGAAAAUCCUACAGAGGCAAUGUGUUUCUUCUCCCAGGCUCAGAUCAACUUAACCUGACUCAAUCACACACAGGGGGACAGAGCAGGAACUAAACCUAACAUUUAAAAGGUUUUACCCAUCGUAAGUUUAUCAUUAGACUGCAGGUUUUUGGAUCAACGACAGAAUCUAUUUUUGGUCUGUAAAGUUUAUAAAUCUGACAAUGCAAAGUUCACAGCUACACGUGCAUCUCUCAGUUCUUCUGGGCUGACUGUUUAGUGAACAAGGAAGUUUGCUUCUGUGAACCUUGCUUUGAUUUGCACAGGCAUUCUGGAAAGUUAAACAUUUAGCUUCUAAAAUUUUACUGCACUGGCGUUCCUCAAGGACGUGACUCCAGUAUGAUUAUGACUACACGGCCAUCAGAGUUGUUUAUUCCAUAGCCACAGAGCAGUCAGCAGAUGUGAGGAACCAUUGUCUGACUUCAGUAAGCUCCAAUAAUAAUAAGCUCCAAUAAUCUAACAGGAUUAUAGCUGCCCAUCUGCCCUCCCCACAUCCAAUUUAUAUGAGAGUGACUGAAGUUACUAUCUUGGUGCAUAAUGUGACUGAUACCCGCCAGCCUUAGAUCAUUACAUCUGAAAGACACAGACCAGGUUUCACUAAAUUUGCAAAGACUCAUGCUGGUACUUUAUUGUGACUAAUACAAUAAUGGUUACAAUAAAAAUACAAUAUUAUACGUAGAAUUAAUAUAAACUUCUGCUGUCACUUUUUUCAGUGCCAUUCCAUCGUACUAUACUGAAUGCUUAAUUUCUUAAUUUGAAUAUUAUAUAGGAGUGUAUGUAUUCAAACCAUGAAAUCAUCAAAUGUAAUUUCAGACUUUCAGAAAAGCUGCAAGAAUUCUUUGUAUUCCUAGAUACACUUCACCUAGAUUCUCAUAAUGCCAACAUUUACUACAGUCUUUUCUUUUUCUAAAUGCACGUGAACACACAUAUUUUUUUCCCAAACUGUUUAAGUUGUGAAUAUAAUGUUCUUUUAUUCCUAAAUAUUUCAAUGUGUAUGUCCUUAAAAUAAGGAAUCCUCUUAUGUAAACAGUAUAAUUAUCAAAAUCAGGAAAUUACCAUUGAAAUAAUGUUAUCUAAUCUACAAAACCUCACUGAGAUUUUAUCAACUGUCCCACUAAUAUUUCUUAUAGCAAAAGAAAAUCUAGAAUUACACACUGCAUUCAGUUGUUAUGAUGUUUCAGUCUCCUUUAAUCUGACGGUUCCUGAGUUUGUUCUUGUACAGGCCAGGUAUUUUACAGACUGUCCCACAUUUUGGAUUGUCCUUUGUGUCGUCAUGGUUAGAUUAACGUUAUGUGCUUCUGGCAGCAUAAUAUAUAUGGGAUUCUGGCUUUUUCUCUACAAAACAUACUUGGAAACACUAUUGAUCGGUCCCAUUAAUAGUAGUGUUAACUUUAAUCUUUUGGUUAAGGUGCUAUUGGCAGGUUUCUCCACUUAGAGUUACCAUUUUACCCUUUGUGAAUAAAAAGCAGCUUGCAGGGAUAUACUUGAAGACGAUGUAAAUAUUCUGUUCUCAAACUUUCAUCUAUUAGUUUUAGCAUUCAUGGAUGAUUCUCUCCUGUAUCAAUUAUAUUUAUGAUGGCUUGGCAAAAGGUGAUUUUCUAAUUCCAUCAUUCCUUCUACAUUUAUUAGUGCAUUUUCUACUAAAGUUUUCCCUUCUUCCUUAUUUAUUUGUUUACUUGUUUGUUUAUAUCAGUGUAGCUCAUGGAUCCUUACUUUAUUCAAUAGUAUUAAAUUUACUAUUAUUAUUUAUUUAAAUUAGUUUAAUGAUUACAUCAUCCCAGAUUGGCCAAUGGGAGUCCCUUAAAGCUGGUUCCUCUGUCAUUCUGACACGUCCCUAUCAUUCUUUAAACACAUUCUUACUUUGGGGCAUAACAAGGUGUUCUAGUUCUUUACCUGCCCCAAUCCUGAAUUCAGCCAUUUCUCCACGGAGCUCUAUAUACCUCAUUCCCUACUUUCUUUUAGUGGAGAAUUUGGGUAUAUAGAAACCUAGAUCUUGGCUGUAGGUAUGCUCACUGCUACUGGAGUGAAAUUGCUUCAAGGCCUUCUCAGAGGACAGAGCUGGGGAAUGUUUAUACAUACAUAUAAACAAAUAUGUGCAUAUACACAUGCACUCAUGUGUACAAUACACAUUAUAAUCCAUGCAGACUUAUAUCCAGUUACAUAAAUAUGUAUGUGUAUAUGUAUGUUCAUGUAUGUGUUAGAACCCAUGACUUCACACCUAUAUCUCCAAUUUCAGUCCAAUAAUGCAGAGUUCAUUCUAUUUUUUUCUUUUACCCUGAUUGUAGCUUCCUUCUCUCGAAGUGCAAAACCUGACUGCUCAAUCCUAGAACAUACAAAAAAUGACUUCAGAAUUGCUAACCUACGCUUCUGCAGAAAGAGAGGUCUGCUAACCAGAGUUCAACAUUUACUUAGAGUUAUUAUGUUUUUAGCCUGAGAGCAUGUUGUCAUACUACUGCAUUCAAAGCUACUUGGGUUUGCUUCCCCCCACCUUCUUCAGUGUGAUUAUAUUAUUUAUAUGAAAUGUAAUUUUUUUCUUAUCCUCUGUUUGAUCAAAUCUAUUUUUAUCUUUCAGAGAUGUUUUACAGUUCUCCUUAUAAAGACGUUACAUAUUUCAUGUUAAAUUUAUUCUUAAAUAUUUUAUCUUCUUUAUUGCUAUUGUAAAUACACUUUUCUCUACCUUUGUAUAUUCUUUUAUAGCUUGCUGAUUUCUGAAAUCUCUUAUUUAUUUAUUUUUAAAUAUAAAUUUAUUUAUUUAUUUAUUUUUGGCUGCAUUGGGUCUUUGUUGCUGCGGGCUUUCUCUAGUUGCGGCGA